rnacentral:rRNA from 1 species
UGGGGAAUUUUGGACAAUGGGGGAAACCCUGAUCCAGCCAUCCCGCGUGUGCGAUGAAGGCCUUCGGGUUGUAAAGCACUUUUUGCAGGAAAGAAACGUCAUGGGUUAAUACCCCGUGAAACUGACGGUACCUGCAGAAUAAGCACCGGCUAACUACGUGCCAGCAGCCGCGGUAAUACGUAGGGUGCAAGCGUUAAUCGGAAUUACUGGGCGUAAAGCGUGCGCAGGCGGUUCGGAAAGAAAGAUGUGAAAUCCCAGAGCUCAACUUUGGAACUGCAUUUUUAACUACCGGGCUAGGGUGAGUCAGAGGGAGGUGGAAUUCCGCGUGUAGCAGUGAAAUGCGUAGAUAUGCGGAGGAACACCGAUGGCGAAGGCAGCCUCCUGGGAUAACACUGACGCUCAUGCACGAAAGCGUGGGGAGCAAACAGG